UUCCUGGCCACCUCUGCUGCAAACAAUGAUGACAACAACCUCUUCAUCUAUGACUGCAGUGCUGCAGAAUAGUCACAAGAAAAUAAAGGGGAGGACGGGCUGCCCUUGGUCUGGGGGAGUGGCAUGAUUCUGGCAUCCACCUCCAAGUCUGGCGCUAUUUUGCUUUAACAGAUGACCACAAGCGUCUGAUUCUUUUCCAUACAAAACCAUGGCAAUGUCUGAGUGUCAGGACCAUGGCAAGGAGGUGUAGGGCCCUGACCUUACAGCCUCUGAGGAGAAGGUCUUGGUGGCCGACAAAUCUGGAGAUGUGUACUCCUUUUUGGUUUCAGAGCCACACAGAUGCGGCAGACUUGACCUGGCACACCUGUCAAUGUUGUUAGAGGUGACUGUGAGUCCUGAUAACUGCUUCAUCCUCACUGCCAACCCGGAUGAGAAGAUCCAGGUCAGCUAGGCCACAGCACCUCACAGUAUCGAGUCCUUCUGCCUCGGGCACACGGAGUUUGUGAGCCGCAUCUCUGUGGUGCCCACUCAGCCCGAACUGUUUCUUGUCCUCCUCCAGGGACUGCACUCUUAGGCUCUGGGAGUACAGAAGUGGCCAUCAACUGCACUGCUAUCACCUGGCCAGUCUGCAAGUGCUGAUGGGCCCCUGGGACACCGGAGGUUUGUCACAUCCGGGAUCACGUUCUGGUGCUAGGAGAACUGCAUGACGCUUCUGUGCAACUGUAUUCCUGUAAUCUACAUCUUCCAGCUUGAUGCUCUCAGACUGCUAACUUAGUGUACAGGCAGCAUCUGUCAAGCUAGCACCAUGUGUGGGAUGUGGCUUUCGAGGAGACCCAGGGGCUGUGGGUGCUGCCGGACUGCCAUGAAAUCCCCUUGGUGCUCUGCAGGCCUGUAGGUGGCCAGUGGCAUUCUGUUCCUGAAUGCACUGUGUUUAAAAAAAAAAAAAAAGUCUCCAGUGUUAUUCAUGGGAACUGGGCCAUGCUGGAAGGCUCUAACGUCACAGAUGCCAGCUUCAGCAGUCUCUACAAGGCCAUCUUCGAUAACAUGACCUUCUAUCUGAAGAAGAAAGAGGAGAGACUGCAUUAGCAGCUGGAGAAUUCCCCCACCUGGGCCCCAAACCAAGAAGUUGAGGCCGGGUGAAGUGGCUUUGAGUUGU
rnacentral:lncRNA from 1 species